CUGAAUAGGGCGCAUAAGUAACAGGUCGUAGACCCGAAACCAGGUGAUCUACCCAUGUCCAGGAUGAAGGUAAGGUAAUACUUACUGGAGGUCCGAACCCACGCACGUUGAAAAGUGCGGGGAUGAGGUGUGGGUAGCGGAGAAAUUCCAAUCGAACUUGGAGAUAGCUGGUUCUCUCCGAAAUAGCUUUAGGGCUAGCCUCGAGGUAAAGAGUCAUGGAGGUAGAGCACUGUUUGGACUAGGGGCCCUUCUCGGGUUACCGAAUUCAGAUAAACUCCGAAUGCCAUGUACUUAUACUCGGGAGUCAGACUGCGAGUGAUAAGAUCCGUAGUCGAAAGGGAAACAGCCCAGACCACCAGUUAAGGUCCCCAAAUAUAUGUUAAGUGGAAAAGGAUGUGGGGUUGCUUAGACAACCAGGAUGUUGGCUUAGAAGCAGCCACCAUUGAAAGAGUGCGUAAUAGCUCACUGGUCGAGUGACCCCGCGCCGAAAAUGUACCGGGGCUAAACAUAUUACCGAAACUGUGGAUGAACCUCUUUAGAGGUUCGUGGUAGGAGAGCGUUCUAAGGGCGGUGAAGUCAGACCGGAAGGACUGGUGGAGCGCUUAGAAGUGAGAAUGCCGGUAUGAGUAGCGAAAGAAGGGUGAGAAUCCCUUCCACCGAAUAUCUAAGGUUUCCUGAGGAAGGCUCGUCCGCUCAGGGUUAGUCGGGACCUAAGCCGAGGCCGAUAGGCGUAGGCGAUGGACAACAGGUAGAGAUUCCUGUACCAGUGCUAAUUGUUUAACCGAUGGGGUGACACAGAAGGAUAGGGAAUCGCACGAAUGGAAAUGUGCGUCCAAGCAGUGAGUGUGAGAAGUAGGCAAAUCCGCUUCUCGCGAAGCAUGAGCUGUGAUGGGGAAGGAAAUUAAGUACGGAAGUUCCUGAUUUCACGCUGUCAAGAAAAGCCUCUAGGAAGAGUAGUACUGCCCGUACCGCAAACCGACACAGGUAGAUGAGGAGAGAAUCCUAAGGUGAGCGAGAGAACUCUCGUUAAGGAACUCGGCAAAAUGACCCCGUAACUUCGGGAGAAGGGGUGCUCUAUUAGGGUGCAAGCCCGAGAGAGCCGCAGUGAAUAGGCCCAGGCGACUGUUUAGCAAAAACACAGGUCUCUGCAAAACCGUAAGGUGACGUAUAGGGGCUGACGCCUGCCCGGUGCUGGAAGGUUAAGAGGAGUGCUUAGCUUCGGCGAAGGUACGAAUUGAAGCCCCAGUAAACGGCGGCCGUAACUAUAACGGUCCUAAGGUAGCGAAAUUCCUUGUCGGGUAAGUUCCGACCCGCACGAAAGGCGCAACGAUCUGGGCACUGUCUCAACGAGAGACUCGGUGAAAUUAUAGUACCUGUGAAGAUGCAGGUUACCCGCGACAGGACGGAAAGACCCCGUGGAGCUUUACUGCAACCUGAUAUGGAAUGUUUGUACCGCUUGUACAGGAUAGGUAGGAGCCGAAGAGACGUGUGCGCUAGCAUACGAGGAGGCAAUGGUGGGAUACUACCCUGGCUGUAUGACCAUUCUAACCCGCCACGCUUAGCGCGUGGGGAGACAGUGUCAGGUGGGCAGUUUGACUGGGGCGGUCGCCUCCUAAAGAGUAACGGAGGCGCCCAAAGGUUCCCUCAGAAUGGAUGGAAAUCAUUCGCAGAGUGUAAAGGCACAAGGGAGCUUGACUGCGAGACUGACAAGUCGAGCAGGGACGAAAGUCGGGCUUAGUGAUCCGGUGGUUCCGCAUGGAAGGGCCAUCGCUCAACGGAUAAAAGCUACCCCGGGGAUAACAGGCUUAUCUCCCCCAAGAGUCCACAUCGACGGGGAGGUUUGGCACCUCGAUGUCGGCUCGUCGCAUCCUGGGGCUGUAGUCGGUCCCAAGGGUUGGGCUGUUCGCCCAUUAAAGCGGCACGCGAGCUGGGUUCAGAACGUCGUGAGACAGUUCGGUCCCUAUCCGUCGCGGGCGCAGGAAAUUUGAGAGGAGCUGUCCUUAGUACGAGAGGACCGGGAUGGACACACCGCUGGUGUACCAGUUGUUCCGCCAGGAGCAUCGCUGGGUAGCUAUGUGUGGCAGGGAUAAACGCUGAAAGCAUCUAAGCGUGAAGCCCCCCUCAAGAUGAGAUUUCCCAUUUCUUCGGAAAGUAAGAUCCCU
rnacentral:rRNA from 1 species